UUAAAGUUACAGUCAGGGGCAAAGGAGCUUAAAGUGUUUCAUGUGAGGGGAGAAAAAAAGCGCGGCGGACUCUGACUGCAGAUCAGUAAGAAAAGAAACAAAGAAGCCUGUCACCACGUCCUGUAGGAACAUGUAGACUGCAUUUCAACAUGAUGAACUCUGUGUUGUGUGCAUUCAAACACAGCUGGCUGCGAUAGCAAACCUCUUUUUGAUCAGUGACAGCCGGUAGCCUGUCCCAACCAGCUGGAUGUCACACCCUGACAGAGUGCUGCCUUCACUGGUGAACUGGACCGAAAGUUGAGAGGGUUUAUAAGAACCAUCGGCCAUCUGAAACCUGCCAAGAAGAGCCCCAACUCCUAGAGGACACAGAUACAUUGGCGGGGGGUAUCAUGGUCUGGACCAUGGCCAUGCCUCCAUCCACGGGAACCAGGAAUUGGAGGUCGUGCAGGGGCACGGGGGCGGCCAUGGCUUCUGUGUUGUAUUUGUAGUCUAUUCUAAGGUCUGUGCUGUUGGUAUCACCUCGCCAACUCAACGCCAGGUUCAGAGGAGUGGACUGGAUCCCCUCCGCUGACACCUGAGACAAAAAGAAACAAAAGAUAUUGAGAUAUGCUGAUGUUGUAGUGAGGCACUAACAGAUUCACAGAUUAACAGAUGUUAGAUACCUGAUAUUUGAUCAUGUCCACGUUGUAGUACGUCGCCUGAGGCUUCUGUUCAGCUACUUUUUUCAGAUGGCUCAUCAGGUUUGGCAUAUUUACCCAGAACUCCUUUGUCUCUGCACUGUCCACUGUGGAAUCACUGAGAGCACAGUAGCUGUGGGUUUGGGAGGACCUGCUCCAGUCGGUUGUAGUUGCUGAUGCAGAAAGUGAGGAUGGGUUGAGUCGGGUGGCUGGAAAAAUGUCGGGUAAUUCCCGCGGGGAAAGACAGCACCAUCUCCCCUGUGAUCUUCACAACACAUCUUGGACGGAAGCAGAGGAGAGACAGUUCUUCAUGCAAACAUGUUAAACAAUUAAGAAACAGAAAUCAUCUUUUUUCUGCCACUU